rnacentral:rRNA from 1 species
CAUGCAAGUCGAGGGGCAGCAUGACUGUAGCAAUACAGUUGAUGGCGACCGGCAAACGGGUGCGGAACACGUACAGAACCUUCCUUCGAGCGGAGAAUAGCCCAGAGAAAUUUGGAUUAAUACCCCAUAGUACAACGGAGUGGCAUCACUUUGUUGUUAAAGAUUUAUCACUUGAAGAUGGCUGUGCGGCUGAUUAGGUAGUUGGCGGGGUAACGGCCCACCAAGCCUGCGAUCAGUAACUGGUGUGAGAGCACGACCAGCCACACUGGGACUGAGACACGGCCCAGACUCCUACGGGAGGCAGCAGUGGGGAAUAUUGGACAAUGGGCGGAAGCCUGAUCCAGCCAUGCCGCGUGAGUGAUGAAGGCCUUCGGGUUGUAAAGCUCUUUCGCACGCGACGAUGAUGACGGUAGCGUGAGAAGAAGCCCCGGCUAACUUCGUGCCAGCCGCCGCAGUAAAAC